rnacentral:rRNA from 1 species
CCUACGGGAGGCAGCAGUGGGGAAUUUUGCGCAAUGGGCGAAAGCCUGAUGCAGCAACGCCGCGUGCGGGACGAAGGCCUUCGGGUUGUAAACCGCUUUCAGCAGGGAUGAAAUUGACAGUACCUGCAGAAGAAGCCCCGGCUAACUACGUGCCAGCAGCCGCGGUAAUACGUAGGGGGCAAGCGUUAUCCGGAUUUAUUGGGCGUAAAGCGCGCGUAGGCGGCUUGUUAAGCGAGAUGUGAAAACCGGGGGCUUAACCCGCGGCCUGCAUCUCGAACUGGCAGGCUUGAGUCUGGUAGAGGAAAGUGGAAUUCCCAGUGUAGCGGUGAAAUACGCAGAUAUUGGGAGGAACACCAGUGGCGAAGGCGGCUUUCUGGGCCACGACUGACGCUGAGGCGCGAAAGCUAGGGGAGCGAACAGGAUUAGAUACCCUGGUAGUCCUAGCCGUAAACGAUGGGCACUAGGUGUGGGGGGUCACCAACUCCCUCCGUGCCGCAGCUAACGCAUUAAGUGCCCCGCCUGGGGAGUACGGCCGCAAGGCUAAAACUCAAAGGAAUUGACGG